AUGGCAGGUUCCAAGCAUGUCUCGUCGUGCACCUGCAUUCUGAUAAUCUUGGUCGUGUCGAGCCACCUGGCGUCGUGCCCGUGCGAGGCGAGGAGGCUGAUGGCGGCGUCGGCAAAGAUCGACGGCGAUGAGGCAUGCGCAUCAGCUGGGUGCCGCGCCGUGCAAGGUACUGCUAGUGGUACCGCGGCGGCGACCUGGAAGAUGGCGACCACCGACAGUCGUGGAACGUCGCCUGGGCACAGCCCGGGGAUCGGCAACAAGCUGCACGCUGCAGGGAACGAUCGCCGUUGA
rnacentral:rRNA from 1 species